AUUGAACGCUGGCGGCAUGCCUUACACAUGCAAGUCGAACGGCAGCACGGGUGCUUGCACCUGGUGGCGAGUGGCGAACGGGUGAGUAAUACAUCGGAACGGACCUUAGCGUGGGGGAUAACGCAGCGAAAGCUGUGCUAAUACCGCAUACGCCCUGAGGGGGAAAGCGGGGGAUCGCAAGACCUCGCGCGAUUAGAGCGGCCGAUGCCUGAUUAGCUUGUUGGUGGGGUAAAAGCCCACCAAGGCGACGAUCAGUAGCUGGUCUGAGAGGACGAUCAGCCACACUGGGACUGCGACACGGCCCAGACUCCUCCGGGAGGCAGCAGUGGGGAAUUUUGGACAAUGGGGGCAACCCUGAUCCAGCAAUGCCGCGUGAGUGAAGAAGGCCUUCGGGUUGUAAAGCUCUUUUGUCAGGGAAGAAACACCGGCUCUAACACAGUCCGGGAAUGACGGUACCUGAAGAAUAAGCACCGGCUAACUACGUGCCAGCCGCCGCAGUAA
rnacentral:rRNA from 1 species